rnacentral:siRNA from 1 species
UACGUCCCUGCCCUUUGUACA